GACGAACGCUGGCGGCGUGCUUAACACAUGCAAGUCGAACGGAAAGGCCCCUUUGGGGGUAUUCGAGUGGCGAACGGGUGCGUAACACGUGAGUAACCUGCCCUUGACUUCGGGAUAACUUCAGGAAACUGGGGCUAAUACCGGAUAGGAAUCCUUGCUGCAUGGUGGGGGUUGGAAAGCUUCGGCGGUUUUGGAUGGACUCGCGGCUUAUCAGCUUGUUGGUGGGGUAGUGGCUUACCAAGGCUUUGACGGGUAGCCGGCCUGAGAGGGCGACCGGCCACAUUGGGACUGAGAUACGGCCCAGACUCCUACGGGAGGCAGCAGUGGGGAAUAUUGCACAAUGGGCAGAAGCCUGAUGCAGCAACGCCGCGUGCGGGAUGACGGCCUUCGGGUUGUAAACCGCUUUCAGCAGGGGCGAAGCUUGUGGUGACGGUACCUGCAGAAGAAGCACCGGCUAACUACGUG
rnacentral:rRNA from 1 species